UCCCUGGUGGCUCAGACGGUAAUGUGUCUGCCUACAAUGCAGGAGACCCAGGUUCGAUCCUUGGCUAGGAAG
rnacentral:tRNA from 1 species